UUCUGUUAAAUUCGGUAAGACAGAAUUUAAAAGAAUUCAAGGAUCAUUUUCGAAUUAAAUAGAAUAAAACCGAUUUAAAAAUUUUGAAUUGGUUUCAACUCGGUUUAAUUCGAAGUCAGAACCAGAAAUUCGAGGAUUAUUUUCGAAUUAAACCGAAUAGAAUUAUUUAAAUUCGUUUUAAUUUGAAUAUAUUCUGAUUUUCUUGCGGAUUAGACAGAAUUCAUUUUAAAGUUAGAAUGUAGGACUAGAAAUAAAAAACGGGGCAUACAAAGUCGACUAGGAAGGAUAAGCAACAUUCGUGCCACUCUUAGGAGCAUCUUUAUGAAGAUCAUCUUAUUAGUUCUAAAACGUGAUGUAUUCAUAAAAAUAUUUCAAAAUGAUCUUCUGUUUGUAUUUCCUCUGUUUGAUUAUUGCGCAGUAGCCUUCAGUGACAUUACAGGUAGACAGCAGCUAAGACUACAAAGAAAGAUUAAUGCGUGCGUACACUGUGAAAAAUUUCCAACAAAUUUUACCAUGGGUGCAUUGUAAUACCGGACCAUAAGAAAACUGUUACAAAAUUUACAAGUGUCCCAUACUAAACGGUAUGGGCAUAGGCCCCAAUUGUGUCGUCUGCGCAUACGUUUACUAUGGGACAAUUGUAAAUUUUGUACCAGUUUUCUUAUGGUCCGGUGUUACAAUGCAGCCAUAGUAAAAUUUAAUGGGAAUUUUUCACAGUGUACGUUUUAUCUUUAAAGUUAGUCGCUUUGAGUAUAUUACUCGUUACUAUAGAUACCUAGGGUGGCUUACAUUGAGAACUCGUAGGGAAUUCUUUAUGGCAUGUUUAAUGUAUAAAGCUGUAUAUCUAAAUCAAACUCAAUCGUUUGGUGAGAGCUUACAGCUAUUAGAACCGCAAUUUCGUCGUGGCGAUAUUCGCACAGAUUACCUUGUAUUGCCUAAUAGUCGGCUAGUUAAACAUGACAAAUCUUUCAUUGUCAUAGCGAUUAUAGUUUGGAAUCUUUUGCCACCGCACUGUACUAAUAUGCCAACAUUUAUUGAAUUCAGAAAUUGAUGAAUUUAUGAUAUUCUAUUGCUGUGUUGUAUAUUGUAUAUUGUAUUUUAUUAUUGUAUCAUGAGUUGAAUUAUUGAGAACAGUAUUGUUAAAAUUGUAGAAAGGAACAUAAGAACAAAAUGUUAUACUAUGUAUUUUUAUUAUGUAUUUUUGUUUUUGAUGGCUGCAAGAAGUCUAGACUUCAUGGCCAAAUAAAUCAUAUUAUCUAUU